rnacentral:rRNA from 1 species
UACGGAGGAUGCGAGCGUUAUCCGGAUUUAUUGGGUUUAAAGGGUGCGUAGGCUGUGAGGUAAGUCAGCGGUGAAAUGCCCCCGCUCAACGGGGUGAAGUGCCAUUGAUACUGCCUUGCUGGAAUGCGGAUGCCGUGGGAGGAAUGUGUGGUGUAGCGGUGAAAUGCAUAGAUAUUGGGAGGAACACCAGUGGCGAAGGCGGCCUGCUGGACAUUAACUGACGCUGAGGCGCGAAAGCGUGGGGAGCAAACAGG